UUGCAGGAAAGCCCUGAAUGCUGAGAACAAAUGAAGAAGAAAGAAGCGAAGCGAUUAAAGAGUUAGAAAGAGCACAGAGAAGCCAAAUAAUGGUUAUCAGACUCCACAAGGAUGCCUCACUGACCUUGAACCACAGCACUUCAUUCAUCCUACAACAAAUCUCCCACUAUGAAAGAACUUGCUGAGGUUGAGUUAGAAAAUCUACUCCUCUCCUGCCCUUGAAAUGAUGAUCUAAGAAAGGAUGCAGAAAAAAAACUUUGUUCAUUGCAAAUUUGAAAUGUAAUAAAAUGAACAUGUUUAUUUAUCAGAUCUAUAUUCGCUGAAGACUUAAGAACUAAUUGACAUCUCAAACAUUGUCUAAAAAUUGCAGAGAAGAAAAAACUCAUCAGAACUAUCUGUGGGAUUACAACAGGGUGAGAUCAAAAAAAGAAAAAAAUAAGUUAUAUUAAUUGGCAACCCAUCUCCACUAAAGU
rnacentral:lncRNA from 1 species